AUUGAGCUACUGGUCGAUAAGACUGAGAACCUUCAUCAGCAGGUUAGUGUCUCUUUUCGCUUUUGCGCUACAAAUGUGUGUGUGUGAUAAUAAUUUGAACGUAAAACUUUAAGAACUUUGAUUGAGUAAAUCUCUAUUCCGUCUGAGGGUGAAUGGCAGUUGAAGUUUAUGUUUAGGUCAAAUCAUACAUUUUGACUUUUAGUACAAAAAUCUCUGUAGCUUUCCUUCAAAGUCCAAUGUCAUUGAACCUCCUUUUCUCUCCCAUGUUGGAUACCACAAAGGAUAGAUGAUUUGCUGCAUGAUUAAUAUUGAUGACCUCAUUGUAAAAUGUAUCACGUGAUUUGAUAUUAUCUUCACCAUUUUUGAGUUUUCAGCCAUUUGUUUGAAAGCAUUACAAUGAUACUUUUCAUGUCCUCAUAGACAAGGGCAAGUCGUUCCUAAUUGGAAAAUUGAACACUUGCAGGCACAAGACUUUCGGAGUACGGGGACCAAAAUGCGGAGGAAAAUGUGGCUGCAAAAUAUGAAGAUCAAGCUGAUUGUUUUGGGAAUACUGAUUGCCUUGAUCCUCAUCAUAGUCCUCUCUGUUUGCCAUGGUUUCAACUGCGGAAAAUGAGUGCUAUUCUCCAGGAGGCUUAUAUUACGCUCUUCUAAGAGCUUCUGUGAUGAUAUUGUGAAAGAGAUAUAUAAAUAUAUAUGAUCUUGACUUUGUAUUUAGUCUAAAAAAGUUAGCAGUUUCCCUAUAUUUGUUACAAAGAAAACCGAAAACUUAUUUUUGCUUGUGAAUGAGUCCCGUCAUUAUAUUGUGAGAAUACUUGUGCAAAGAUGCUGC
rnacentral:lncRNA from 1 species